rnacentral:rRNA from 1 species
UACCAGACUCCUACGGGAGGCAGCAGUGAGGGAUAUUGGGCAAUGGGGGAAACCCUGACCCAGCGACGCCGCGUGGGUGAAGAAGCGCCUCGGUGCGUAAAGCCCUAUCGGCAGGGAAGAAACAGACGGUACCUGACUAAGAAGCCCCGGCUAACUACGUGCCAGCAGCCGCGGUAAUACGUAGGGGGCAAGCGUUAUCCGGAUUCACUGGGUGUAAAGGGAGCGUAGACGGCGACGCAAGUCUGGAGUGAAAGCCCGGGGCCCAACCCCGGGACUGCUCUGGAAACUGCGUCGCUGGAGUACGGGAGGGGCAGGCGGAAUUCCUGGUGUAGCGGUGAAAUGCGUAGAUAUCAGGAGGAACACCGGUGGCGAAGGCGGCCUGCUGGACUGCAACUGACGUUGAGGCCCGAAAGCGUGGGGAGCAAACAGGAUUAGAUACCCUUGUA